UACGGGGGGGGCAAGCGUUGUUCGGAAUUACUGGGCGUAAAGGGCUCGUAGGCGGCCAACUAAGUCGGACGUGAAAUCCCUCGGCUUAACCGGGGAACUGCGUCUGAUACUGGAUGGCUUGAGUGUGGGAGAGGGAUGCGGAAUUCCAGGUGUAGCGGUGAAAUGCGUAGAUAUCUGGAGGAACACCGGUGGCGAAGGCGGCAUCCUGGACCACGACUGACGCUGAGUGAGCGAAAGCCAGGGGAGCAAACGGG
rnacentral:rRNA from 1 species